rnacentral:rRNA from 1 species
AGAGUUUGAUCCUGGCUCAGGAUGAACGCUAGCGAUAGGCUUAACACAUGCAAGUCGAGGGGCAGCAUGGUCUUAGCUUGCUAAGGCUGAUGGCGACCGGCGCACGGGUGCGUAACGCGUAUGCAACUUGCCUCACAGAGGGGGAUAACCCGUCGAAAGACGGACUAAUACCGCGUACACUCCAUCUUGGGCAUCCAAGGUAGAGGAAAUGAAAUUCGCUGUGAGAUAGGCAUGCGUCCCAUUAGCUAGUUGGUGAGGUAACGGCUCACCAAGGCGACGAUGGGUAGGGGAACUGAGAGGUUGAACCCCCACACUGGUACUGAGACACGGACCAGACUCCUACGGGAGGCAGCAGUGAGGAAUAUUGGUCAAUGGGCGAGAGCCUGAACCAGCCAAGUCGCGUGAAGGAUGACUGUCUUAUGGAUUGUAAACUUCUUUUAUACGGGAAUAACAAGAGCCACGUGUGGCUCCCUGCAUGUACCGUAUGAAUAAGCAUCGGCUAACUCCGUGCCAGCAGCCGCGGUAAUACGGAGGAUGCGAGCGUUAUCCGGAUUUAUUGGGUUUAAAGGGUGCGUAGGCGGCCUGUUAAGUCAGCGGUGAAAUCUAGGAGCUUAACUCCUAAAUUGCCAUUGAUACUGGCGGGCUUGAGUGUAGAUGAGGUAGGCGGAAUGCGUGGUGUAGCGGUGGAAUGCAUAGAUAUCACGCAGAACUCCGAUUGCGAAGGCAGCUUACUAAGGUACAACUGACGCUGAAGCACGAAAGCGUGGGUAUCAAACAGGAUUAGAUACCCUGGUAGUCCACGCAGUAAACGAUGAUAACUGGGCGUAUGCGAUAUACAGUAUGCUCCUAA